rnacentral:rRNA from 1 species
UACGUAGGGUGCAAGCGUUGUCCGGAAUUAUUGGGCGUAAAGAGCUCGUAGGCGGUUCGUCGCGUCUGCCGUGAAAGUCCGGGGCUCAACUCCGGAUCUGCGGUGGGUACGGGCAGACUAGAGUGCAGUAGGGGAGACUGGAAUUCCUGGUGUAGCGGUGAAAUGCGCAGAUAUCAGGAGGAACACCGAUGGCGAAGGCAGGUCUCUGGGCUGUAACUGACGCUGAGGAGCGAAAGCAUGGGGGAGCGAACAGG